rnacentral:rRNA from 1 species
CUAACAAGGAUUCCCCUAGUAACGGCGAGUGAAGAGGGAAGAGCUCAAAUUUUAAAUCUGCCUUGUUUCAAGGUCGAGUUGUAAUUUGAAGAAGCGUUUUCUUGGGCUCGCGGCCGGUAGAAGUUCUUUGGAACAGGACAUCAUAGAGGGUGACAAUCCCGUCUGCGACCGGUCGUGCGUUCAUCUUACGAUACGCUUUCAAAGAGUCGAGUUGUUUGGGAUUGCAGCUCCAAAUGGGUGGUAAACAUCACCUAAGGCUAAAUAUUGGCGAGAGACCGAUAGCGAACAAGUACCGUGAGGGAAAGAUGAAAAGAACUUUGAAAAGAGAGUUAAACAGUACGUGAAAUUGUUGAAAGGGAAACGAUUGAAGUCAGUCGUGCUGGCGCGAAAUCAACCCUCUCGUCGAGAGGUCACAUGGCGUGGCGAGCCUCAAAACCGUCACGAAGCGUGAACUCUUGGCGAAAAGGAGCACUUUCGUGUCCGCUGGUUAACAUCAAUUUCGAACGUCAUAAAAAGGCUGGAGGGAUGUGGCUCCUUCGGGAGUGUUAUAACCUUUAGCGGAAUGUGGUGGUCGGGAUUGAGGAUUGCAACGAAUACCUUUAGGGCUGUUCCACCUGGCUUCUCUUUGGUAUCCUGGCGAAGACAGCUUGCUGACUUUGUUAGGAUUCGCCUUUGAACAGGCUAGAGUGUGAGCAAAUUCGUUAAGGAUGU